rnacentral:rRNA from 1 species
CGCUAGCUACAGGCUUAACACAUGCAAGUCGAGGGUCAGCAUGGUCUUAGCUUGCUAAGGCCGAUGGCGACCGGCGCACGGGUGAGUAACACGUAUCCAACCUGCCGUCUACUCUUGGACAGCCUUCUGAAAGGAAGAUUAAUACAAGAUGGCAUCAUGAGUCCGCAUGUUCACAUGAUUAAAGGUAUUCCGGUAGACGAUGGGGAUGCGUUCCAUUAGAUAGUAGGCGGGGUAACGGCCCACCUAGUCUUCGAUGGAUAGGGGUUCUGAGAGGAAGGUCCCCCACAUUGGAACUGAGACACGGUCCAAACUCCUACGGGAGGCAGCAGUGAGGAAUAUUGGUCAAUGGGCGAGAGCCUGAACCAGCCAAGUAGCGUGAAGGAUGACUGCCCUAUGGGUUGUAAACUUCUUUUAUAAAGGAAUAAAGUCGGGUAUGGAUACCCGUUUGCAUGUACUUUAUGAAUAAGGAUCGGCUAACUCCGUGCCAGCAGCCGCGGUAAUACGGAGGAUCCGAGCGUUAUCCGGAUUUAUUGGGUUUAAAGGGAGCGUAGAUGGAUGUUUAAGUCAGUUGUGAAAGUUUGCGGCUCAACCGUAAAAUUGCAGUUGAUACUGGAUAUCUUGAGUGCAGUUGAGGUAGGCGGAAUUCGUGGUGUAGCGGUGAAAUGCUUAGAUAUCACGAAGAACUCCGAUUGCGAAGGCAGCCUGCUAAGCUGCAACUGACAUUGAGGCUCGAAAGUGUGGGUAUCAAACAGGAUUAGAUACCCUGGUAGUCCACACGGUAAACGAUGAAUACUCGCUGUUUGCGAUAUACAGCAAGCGGCCAAGCGAAAGCGUUAAGUAUUCCACCUGGGGAGUACGCCGGCAACGGUGAAACUCAAAGGAAUUGACGGGGGCCCGCACAAGCGGAGGAACAUGUGGUUUAAUUCGAUGAUACGCGAGGAACCUUACCCGGGCUUAAAUUGCAGAUGAAUUACGGUGAAAGCCGUAAGCCGCAAGGCAUCUGUGAAGGUGCUGCAUGGUUGUCGUCAGCUCGUGCCGUGAGGUGUCGGCUUAAGUGCCAUAACGAGCGCAACCCUUGUUGUCAGUUACUAACAGGUUCCGCUGAGGACUCUGACAAGACUGCCAUCGUAAGAUGUGAGGAAGGUGGGGAUGACGUCAAAUCAGCACGGCCCUUACGUCCGGGGCUACACACGUGUUACAAUGGGGGGUACAGAGGGCCGCUACCACGCGAGUGGAUGCCAAUCCCCAAAACCUCUCUCAGUUCGGACUGGAGUCUGCAACCCGACUCCACGAAGCUGGAUUCGCUAGUAAUCGCGCAUCAGCCACGGCGCGGUGAAUACGUUCCCGGGCCUUGUACACACCGCCCGUCAAGCCAUGGGAGCCGGGGGUACAAGGAGUGCGUAACCGCGAGGAGCGCCCUAGGGUA